UAGGAUCACUUGUUUUCGAUAUAUUUAAGUUUUUCAACAUAAAAAAGUACCCGGUAUAUAUGUAUGUACGGUAGACGUACAAUGUACGUUAAAUAUAUAUGAGUGGAUGUACGUACUAUGUACAUGUGUAUAGACGUACCAGAGAUGCGUUUUUCAUUGAACAUUUUACGUACCAUGUACGUAAUAUGCCCUAUUUGGUACGUGUACGUUACGUACAUUUCGUACAGAAUGUGCGUUCUUAAAACGUACUAAGUACGUAUCUGUACAUUUUGGGCACAUAUAUUGUGGAUUCAUGGAUCAGUAAAAGGAGUAUUGAUAUCGCAUUAUAUCCUGGUAUAAUAUCCAUUUGGAAGAUGGUGGCCGAUGCGCCGCCAUCUUCCAAAUGGGUUGGUUUCUUGUGGAGCCAGAACUUCGAUGUUGUGCUCAUGGGCCAAUUUGCUCAAGUAAUCACAUUUGUUGCUUGUCAAGCCUUCUACGUUAAUUUGCAAACUAUGGACACAUUGUCCAGUAUUUUUUGUCUGUGGGAUCUUAGAAGAGCCGUUAUCUGCUUUUCUGACUUUUCCGUCUCCUUUUGCUGUCGCAUCGUAGUUAGGCCGCUUUUUUUCUCGACUUUUUGCCUUCCUGUCCUUGCAAUCCGUUGCCCGGGUACACCAUUUGCAGGUUGUCUUCACUCCCUCCCCUCGCGCUGUGUCAUCAUUAAAUAACUUAUCACAUAAUUCCGGCCAAGCUGCCAUCAGUUUCGGGAAAAGGAACGGGAAAACGAGAAAGAAUGAUGCUAGUGUGACACUCAAUCUUCAGUCAUGGUGCUGCGCCGAGAUACGAAAGAUCUGACCAUUGGGAACACCCAUGUUCCAGAGGUACGUCAACACAAAAGUGUCAUUCUACACACUGUUAUCAUGACUAUAGGGGAGCUUGGCCGUUGAAAAGUAUACUCCUUCGCUAUACAAUUUGGUGACACUGGGUACAGGUCUGAAGUCGCAAGCACAAAAUCGCAACUGUUAUCAGCAGACAAGAACCCCUGAUUGCCGGAAUUCCCAGCGACUGUAUCCGGAAUUUUUAAUAUUAUUUCAACAGGUGGUUUUAAAUACCGAAUGCGCAACGAAAAGUUGGUGGCAAUAAUUAAUUUAAUAAAAAACAACUGAUAUCAAGGUGUAAAAUUUCAAUAAUUGGGAGAAAUUAGUGAAAACUUAUUAUCAAAGCAGCAAUAUAAAUAUUAUUUUCUUUUGACAUUACGCUGCUCAUCUAACUCGAAAAUAUACAGAAGGAACUUAUAAACCAUUUUCAGAUUUUUGAUCCCGCAUUAUUUUUCAUUGUAGAUUGUAAAGCAUUUCAUCUUGUUGGCGUUUGGUUGUACAUCGGCCUCAGGAUUUUUAGUGUGGGUUUGUGACACGAUCAAGUACUUUCAGUAUAGGAGUCUGAAUGAUACUGAAGUUAAACCUAUGAUGACAUUACAUGUUCGGUACCCAUUGAACAGAAAUAAAUACUUCUUUGAGACAUAUAUACUCAGUUUAAGCUCUACUCUAACUGGUGCAAUAUAUUGUACAAUCUCUCAAGUUUACUUUAUAGUCCUCACAGCUUUCGUAAUAUCACAGCUGAAAGUGAUAAAACGGCUUGCUCGAGAUUUCCAUUUAUCGACUGAAAGUAAUUUUAAUGAAGAAGAGGCCUUGACGGCUAUUCGAAAUAUAUAUAAUAAACAUCUCUAUGUUAUUCGGUUUGUUCAUGAAGUUAACUUGGAUAUAAAAUAUCUCAUACUAGCCGAUUGCAUGGUGAACUCUAUAAUUAUUGCGUUCCUAAUAGUUCAGGUUUUAUUUGUGACGACAUCCCUUUCAUCGUUGAUGUUUUACGUUGCGGUCAGCUGCACUGUAUUGUCACAAAUCUUCAUUAUAUCUUGGUUCGCUAAUGAAAUUGAAGUAAUGAGCACCUCGAUCUCUGACGCAUUAUUCGAAAGUCAUUGGUGGGAACAAACUGAAAAAGUGAAGCGAGUAAUCAGCAUCAUUAUGAUGCGUUCGAGAAAGCCUUUACGUAUUAUGAUUGGGCCAUUCUAUCCGCUUACCAUACAAACUGCUUUAAAUGAAAACCACUAGUGUAAAACGCAAAAUUGGAGGAAAGAUGCACAUUUUUUAGUUUCCAGACCAAAUCUGCUCUCUCCCAAUUAAAGUUUUUGGACUUAUUGAAUGCACAACUGUCCAUGCAACAUCCAUCCAUCAUCCAUAAUGAAGUUGUCACAAUUCCAAUUUUCCCAAGCUUUUGGACACAAGGAUAUCAUAAAUUUUAACUUUUCAACGUUUCAGAAAAAAAAAUGUUUUUAAUAUUUCUGGUUUAUGCGUAAUCCCCCAGUUGACUUGAGUUAUACUUCUUUAUUCAAAUUCAAAUAUCAAAAUCUGCUAUUUUCCGAUUAGAAGCAAUGAUCAUAAAGAGACGAGAAGACGAGAACGAGAAGUGCAUUCAUCAACGAAAAGGUGGGCUAAAUGACGAACAACUUGGGCUGAAUUAUAUUUUUUGGUGGUGGUGGCUUCAGGUGUUUCUGUGACUUUAAAGGAGUUAAUUGUGGAGGCGCUCAUCGAAUUGUGACAACCAUAUCGCGUUGUGACCAGGAACUUUAGUUUUAAGAAAAAUGAAGAGAGACUGAUGUUUUACUUUAGUUUGCCGUAUAUCUAUCUAGAAGCAAAUUGACAAUUUAUGUAUGAUUAAUUUUAAUAAAGUUAUUUAAAAAAUG